rnacentral:rRNA from 1 species
AGUGGCGGACGGGUGAGUAACGCGUGGGUAACCUGCCUUAUACAGGGGGAUAACAGUCAGAAAUGACUGCUAAUACCGCAUAAGCCCACGGCUCGGCAUCGAGCAGAGGGAAAAGGAGCAAUCCGCUUUGAGAUGGCCUCGCGUCCGAUUAGCUGGUUGGUGAGGUAACGGCCCACCAAGGCGACGAUCGGUAGCCGGACUGAGAGGUUGAACGGCCACAUUGGGACUGAGACACGGCCCAGACUCCUACGGGAGGCAGCAGUGGGGAAUAUUGCACAAUGGGGGAAACCCUGAUGCAGCGACGCCGCGUGGAGGAAGAAGGUCUUCGGAUUGUAAACUCCUGUUGUUGAGGAAGAUAAUGACGGUACUCAACAAGGAAGUGACGGCUAACUACGUGCCAGCAGCCGCGGUAAAACGUAGGUCACAAGCGUUGUCCGGAAUUACUGGGUGUAAAGGGAGCGCAGGCGGGAAGACAAGUUGGAAGUGAAAUCCAUGGGCUCAACCCAUGAACUGCUUUCAAAACUGUUUUUCUUGAGUAGUGCAGAGGUAGGCGGAAUUCCCGGUGUAGCGGUGGAAUGCGUAGAUAUCGGGAGGAACACCAGUGGCGAAGGCGGCCUACUGGGCACCAACUGACGCUGAGGCUCGAAAGUGUGGGUAGCAAACAGGAUUAGAUACCCUGGUAGUCCACACUGUAAACGAUGAUUACUAGGUGUUGGAGGGAUUGACCCCCUUCCGUGCCGCCAGUAACCACAAUAAGUAAUCCACCCUGGGGAGUACGACCGCAAGGUUGAAACUCAAAGGAAUUGACGGGGGCCCGCACAAGCAGUGGAGUAUGUGGUUUAAUUCGACGCAACGCGAAGAACCUUACCAAGUCUUGACAUCCUGCGACGGUGCUGGAAACAGUACUUUCCUUCGGGACGCAGAGACAGGUGGUGCAUGGUUGUCGUCAGCUCGUGUCGUGAGAUGUUGGGUUAAGUCCCGCAACGAGCGCAACCCUUAUGGUCAGUUACUACGCAAGAGGACUCUGGCCAGACUGCCGUUGACAAAACGGAGGAAGGUGGGGAUGACGUCAAAUCAUCAUGCCCUUUAUGACUUGGGCUACACACGUACUACAAUGGCGUUAAACAAAGAGAAGCAAGACCGCGAGGUGGAGCAAAACUCAGAAACAACGUCCCAGUUCGGACUGCAGGCUGCAACUCGCCUGCACGAAGUCGGAAUUGCUAGUAAUCGCAGAUCAGCAUGCUGCGGUGAAUACGUUCCCGGGCCUUGUACACACCGCCCGUCA